UUGGAUGUAGUGCAUGGUGCACACCCGCUCGCAGUAGAAAGGCUGGGAAUGCAUGUGGGAGGCCUGGGUUCAAUUCCCGGCAUCCGAA